rnacentral:rRNA from 1 species
AAACUAACAAGGAUUCCCCUAGUAGCGGCGAGUGAAGCGGGAAGAGCUCAAAUUUGUAAUCUGGCGUCUUUCAGGCGUCCGAGUUGUAAUCUAUAGAAGUGUUUUCCGUGCUGGACCAUGUCCAAGUCCCUUGGAACAGGGUAUCAAAGAGGGUGACAAUCCCGUACUUGACAUGACCACCAGUGCUCUGUGAUACACUUUCUACGAGUCGAGUUGUUUGGGAAUGCAGCUCAAAAUGGGUGGUAAAUUCCAUCUAAAGCUAAAUAUUGGCGAGAGACCGAUAGCGAACAAGUACCGUGAGGGAAAGAUGAAAAGCACUUUGGAAAGAGAGUUAAACAGUACGUGAAAUUGUUGAAAGGGAAACGAUUGAAGUCAGUCGUGUUCAUUGGACUCAGCCGGUUUUCGGUGUAUUUCCUUUGAACGGGUCAACAUCAGUUUUGUCCGGUGGAUAAAGGCAGGAAGAAAGUGGCUCCCUCGGGAGUGUUAUAGCUUUCUGUCACAUACACUGGAGGAGACUGAGGACUGCAGCUCGCCUUUUGGCCGGGGGUUCGCCCACGUUCGAGCUUAGGAUGUUGACAUAAUGGCUUUAAACGAC